rnacentral:rRNA from 1 species
ACGGGGUCAGCAGGCGCGAAACCUUCGCAAUACGCGAAAGCGUGACGAGGGAACCCCAAGUGCCAGCCUACAAGGUUGGCUUUUCCAUACUCUAAAAAGGUAAGGGAAUAAAGGCUGGGCAAGACCGGUGCCAGCCUCCGCGGUAACACCGGCAGCCUGAGUGGUGCUCGCGUUUAUUGGGCUUAGAGCGUCCGUAGUCGGUUCAAUCAGUCCCCUGUGAAAUCCAACCGCUUAACGGUUGGGCUUGCAGAGGAUACUGUUAGACUAGGAGUCGGGAAGGGUCAGAGGUAUUCUCGGGGUAGCGGUGAAAUGCUAUAAUCCUGGGAAGACCACCAGUGGCGAAGGCGUCUGACUGGAACGAGCUCGACGAUGAGGGACGAGAGCUAGGGGAGCGAAAGGGAUUAGAUACCCCUGUAGUCCUAGCCGUAAACGAUGCAGACUAAGUGUUGCGGAAACUUCGUGUUCCCGCAGUGCUGUAGGGAAACCGUUAAGUCUGCCGCCUGGGAGUACGUCGCAAGAC